AGAGUUUGAUCCUGGCUCAGGAUGAACGCUAGCUACAGGCUUAAUACAUGCAAGUCGAGGGGCAGCAUUUUUAUAGCAAUAUAAAAGAUGGCGACCGGCGCACGGGUGAGUAACACGUAUCCAACCUGCCGAUAACUCAGGGAUAACCCUUCGAGAGAAGGACUAAUACCUGAUGGUACCAUCAGAUGGCAUCUGACGAUGGUUAAAGAAUUUCGGUUAUCGAUGGGGAUGCGUUCCAUUAGCUUGUUGGCGGGGUAACGGCCCACCAAGGCAUCGAUGGAUAGGGGUUCUGAGAGGAAGGUCCCCCACAUUGGAACUGAGACACGGCCCAGACUCCUACGGGAGGCAGCAGUGGGGAAUAUUGCACAAUGGGGGAAACCCUGAUGCAGCGACGCCGCGUGGAGGAAGAAGGUCUUCGGAUUGUAAACUCCUGUUGUUGGGGAAGAUAAUGACGGUACCCAACAAGGAAGUGACGGCUAACUACGUGCCAGCAGCCGCGGUAAAACGUAGGUCACAAGCGUUGUCCGGAAUUACUGGGUGUAAAGGGAGCGCAGGCGGGAAGACAAGUUGGAAGUGAAAUCUAUGGGCUCAACCCAUAAACUGCUUUCAAAACUGUUUUUCUUGAGUAGUGCAGAGGUAGGCGGAAUUCUCGGUGUAGCGGUGGAAUGCGUAGAUAUCGGGAGGAACACCAGUGGCGAAGGCGGCCUACUGGGCACCAACUGACGCUGAGGCUCGAAAGUGUGGGUAGCAAACCAGGAUUAGAUACCCUGGUAGUCCACACUGUAAACGAUGAUUACUAGGUGUUGGGGGGAUGACCCCCUCAGUGCCGCAGUUAACACA
rnacentral:rRNA from 1 species